rnacentral:rRNA from 1 species
GAUGAACGCUGGCGGCGUGCCUAAUACAUGCAAGUCGAGCGAACAGACGAGGAGCUUGCUCCUUUGACGUUAGCGGCGGACGGGUGAGUAACACGUGGAUAACCUACCUAUAAGACUGGGAUAACUUCGGGAAACCGGAGCUAAUACCGGAUAACAUGUUGAACCGCAUGGUUCAACAGUGAAAGACGGUCUUGCUGUCACUUAUAGAUGGAUCCGCGCCGCAUUAGCUAGUUGGUAAGGUAACGGCUUACCAAGGCAACGAUGCGUAGCCGACCUGAGAGGGUGAUCGGCCACACUGGAACUGAGACACGGUCCAGACUCCUACGAGAGGCAGCAGUAGGGAAUCUUCCGCAAUGGGCGAAAGCCUGACGGAGCAACGCCGCGUGAGUGAAGAAGGUCUUCGGAUCGUAAAACUCUGUUAUUAGGGAAGAACAAAUGUGUAAGUAACUAUGCACGUCUUGACGGUACCUAAUCAGAAAGCCACGGCUAACUACGUG